GCCGGAAUAGCUCAGUUGGUAGAGCAGUUGAUUUGUAAUCAUCAGGUCGCCGGUUCAAGUCCGGCUUUCGGCUCCA
rnacentral:tRNA from 1 species